GGAGGGGUGGGGGGAGAUGUGGCAGAUACGCAAGGAGAAAAGGUGUUAUGGGAAGUAAACUUGAUACCUCCUGGAGGCACAGAGAGAGGGGCAGCAGGUCUAUUUUGGGGUCCAUGAUCCACAUGGACCUCCUCCCACUUUACCUUCAUCUCACCUUUAUCAACAAAUCCAUCAAUUCCUUUCUCCCACAUGCACACACAUCCAACUUCCUCAGUUCACCACAACCACUCACCGUGGGAGCGAGUUCUUCAUUCUCACCACUCUCUGAGUAAAGAAUCACCUCUUGGAUUUAAUCGUGACUCCCUUACAUUUUAUGGCUGGUAUUUCUGGACUUCCCCACAAAUCGAAAUAUCUUCUCUACAUGUCAACCCUGGGGAACCCCCUUCAGAGUUUGCUCAGCCUAUUUGGAGCCACCCGGGGUACUGAGGCUAUAACAAGAGUGCGCUGCUCAGCAUUUGAGGACACUGUGGAGACGGACCAAGGGAGCUGCAUGCAUUCGAAUAAUUCAUCUGCCCAUUUACACUCUGCUGAACUGGGAUUUCCAUACAAGAGCUGGAUGGUCUAAAGGCGGUGUUGGUCCUGAUAAACUAGGUGUUACCUGCGUCAUCAGAAUUCUCUGGGUAAAAUUAAAUAUCAAUUUGAACCUUGCACAGGAAGAUCAUUGGAUUAUUGAAUGAUUCAGAAUGAAAGGUGUCCACUUGGCCUGUCAUGACUAUGCCAGCUCUUUGAAAGAGCUAUCUAAUUAAUCCCACUUCCCUGGCCUUUUCCUAAAGUCCCUUCAAAUGGUUACUGUUCAAACCUUUUUCCAACUCCUCUUUGUUGUUAAACCUGCUUCCACUACCUUUCAAGGCAGUGCUUUCCUCAUCACUGUAACUUGCUGAGUUAAACAAUUUUUCUUCCACUCCCUUUCUGUUUUGUGUACCCAUUGUCUUAAACCUGUGUCCUCCUGCCCUUACUGCUAAUUAUUUACCCUGUUCAAUUUUAAGGUAAAGUAUGAAUGCCCAUUCAAAAAAAAAAGCAAAACAGGGGCUAAUACAAGGCUCGACAAUGGGUCUUUUAUUGAAGAACACCCUGCCCAGUCCUCCCUCGCCCUCUUCUCCCCACGUUUGGUCUGAACUGCCCAGUAAUCUAGUGUCAGGCUAUGGUCAGACCUGAAACCUGGCUCAGGUUCCUCUCUUCAGCUGGCAGAGACUGGAUGGACCAUAAAAUGAAUGGGACACUUUGCCGUUUUGCUGUAGGCCCUCAGGGCUCCUAGAAGAGCGAUUGGAGAGAGCCCUUGUCUGAUAAUUUACCAACAGUGUGCAAGGUGAUUUCCCCCUUACGUGAUGUCACUUCAAGGAGGCAGGCACUUUAACUUCCAACCUAUUCUCAAGCAAAUUCGAUUGUUCGCUAAAUGUAUCUUACCUCAUUCUCCUGCUCAUCGCUGCAAGCACACCUCAAGGAGCAAGGAAUGUCUGUCCUGGAUUUGAGACGGUAAACAGAUUGAGGAGAAAUACCGAGACAGUAUUCAGUCUAGAUUUGCACAGGCCUCAUGCCGAUACUUCUCUUUUUAGUUGAGCUGACAUUUCAUUGGCAAGGAAUCCUCUCAUGGGUCAAUGCAAAUUGUAUUUGGCACCAAUCAUGAACAAAGCACAGCUGGUGAUUACUGAUCAAUGUUACACACUGGCCUCCUUAGCAACCUGCUGAAUAUUUUUACUAAAGAGUAAACGUGAAUGAUGUACUUCACAAUGCUGCUUGGAAUGUACAGGGUGACUUUUGUAUCUCCAAGAACUGUCCAUGUAAAAAGGCAGAUGAUGCAGCUGCUAUCCCAUGAACACAACGAAGGCACGAAACACUACUGAAAAUGACUGUUUGUAAACUUGAGUCAGUACUACAGGGUAGGCUGUCCAACAGCAGCUACUUCAAGUUGCAUGUAGUAAACACUGGGUAAUUUAUUAGAUUUGCUUCCUGCUUGUUCGUAUAUUUAUGCAGAAAAUGAGAGUUGAUAUGAGGACCCUUAAUGCUUUUUGUAAAAGUACAAAGAUGUUCCACAAUUGUCUUUUGAUUUUAUGAGAAUUUGAUUUCAUUACCGUGUUAAACUGUAAAGGCUUCACAGUGACCAAUGCAGCCUGUUAGAAGAUAAGGAAAUGCUGCAAGUGAACAGCUUUUGAUGAGACCAUUUCUCCUUCAGUGAUGAAAUCUAAUUUCUUUUUAAGGAGAUAGCACAUUUUUGCCAAUGAUUGCAUUAUUUUGGCAACAUUCCCAAAAUAACUAUAUAGUCCUGGCAACUUCCACGUUUUGCUAAUCCGGGUGGCUGUCUGUUCCCUGACUGUACUUGUGCCAGGAAUGACGUGGAAUGCCAUCAAAGACUGUUUGGAAAUCUGAAUAUAUUACAUCUACUGCAUCAUCCUCACCUAUUCUUUCUGUUACUGUUAUCAAAGGCAUCAAGAUAAUUAGUCUGUAGCUGAAUUCUACCCCUCCCAUCAGCAUCCUAGUGGGUUACCAUUGGCCAGAAUCUGAACUAGCUUUAUAAAAACUGGAAUAAAAGCAAAAUAUUGCCAAUGCUGAAAAUCAGAAAUAAACACAAUUAAUGCUGGAGAAACACAGCAAGU